AUAUUAAUAAGUGAGCAUUUCAACUGAGCGCAGUAGCUUACAGUUAAACGUGUGAACCACAUCUAGUUCAUCAUCUCAGUGCUGACUCUGUUCUCACCAUUUAUCGUCUGGACGCUGGAGACGAGCCUCGUUACUGAACGAUCCUGCAGGCUGCUGUGAUGAGGUCAUUGAGAACGGCUCCUCCUCUUCCUCUGGUCUUUCUGCUCAUGACUGCUGGAGCUUUUGGAACAGAGUGGAGUGUGAAAUACA